rnacentral:rRNA from 1 species
UACAGAGGUCUCAAGCGUUGUUCGGAUUCAUUGGGCGUAAAGGGUGUGUAGGUGGCGCCGUAAGUCGGGUGUGAAAUUUCGGAGCUUAACUCCGAAACUGCAUUCGAUACUGCGGUGCUUGAGGACUGGAGAGGAGACUGGAAUUCAUGGUGUAGCAGUGAAAUGCGUAGAGAUCAUGAGGAACACCGGUGGCGAAGGCGGGACUCUGGGCCGAUACUGACGCUGAGGAGCGAAAGCGUGGGGAGCAAACAGG